rnacentral:rRNA from 1 species
UACCAGCACCCCGAGUGGUCGGGACGAUUAUUGGGCCUAAAGCAUCCGUAGCCGGUUCUGCAAGUCCCCCGUUAAAUCCAGCUGCUCAACAGAUGGGCCGCGGAGGAUACUCCAGAGCUAGGAGGCAGGAGAGGCAAGCGGUACUCAGUGGGUAGGGGUAAAAUCCGCUGAUCCAUUGAAGACCACCAGUGGCGAAGGCGGCUUGCCAGAAUGCGCUCGACGGUGAGGGAUGAAAGCUGGGGGAGCAAACCGG